UACGGAGGAUGCAAGCGUUAUCCGGAAUUAUUGGGCGUAAAGGGUCCGCAGGUGGUACAUCAAGUCUGCUGUCAAAGACCGAAGCUUAACUUCGGGUAGGCGGUGGAAACUGGUGAACUAGAGUACGGUAGGGGUAGAGGGAAUUUCCAGUGUAGCGGUGAAAUGCGUAGAGAUUGGAAAGAACACCAGUGGCGAAGGCGCUCUACUGGACCUGUACUGACACUGAGGGACGAAAGCUAGGGGAGCGAAAGGG
rnacentral:rRNA from 1 species